UGUGGGUGCCAAAUUCUCCCAAAAAUAAAAACACAACUUUAUUUUCUUUCAAAAUUUCACAAAAAUUCCUUAACCAAAAACGUAGCAAAUUUCGCGUAGAUCGUUAUCUACCAUUGCAUGUAGGAUCAAGAUGUGACGGAAAGUCAACUAUAGACGGAUGAAAUUGAAGGAGCACCGGUUGGAGUAGACCGAGUGGCUAAUAGUGGAUCGUCAUGGCGUAUUUAAUUGUGGACGACAGUCUGAAUAUUGUCUGUGUCUGGACGAGACCUCAUCUUUUUGAUUCUCGAAGUCUUCGUUUUGCGUAUAUGGCUUGCUACGGGUUUCGGAGCAACCACUCUUAUUCCCUAGCGCCGGUCUCGACGCCGAGAAUCGGGUCGUGACAUUACCCGCCUCCGUCCCUUCUCUGUUGUUGAUUUUUCCUCAAUGCCACUUUGAGACCACUGCCUUAGUCCGCUGCCGACCUCCUACGCCAUCUGUUAUAGUUCUCUGAUCAGUAGAAGGUGUUCUGGUGGGAUGAGGCGACCUACAGUGAGGAGCUCGACAGGUAUUCAUGACUCACGCAGCCAUCCGCUAUAACGACAACGUCCAUAAGAUGAAGAAAGCAGACGCCAAGCAUAGAUCUGCGAGCUAGGAGAUCUGGGAUGCCUUGAACGCCUUCUGGGCCACAGAGGCGGUGAAGACGAAGUCGGAUACAGUCCGAGCAAAUCAGAUGAACGAGACGGCGGGCCCGGCACAGGCUCUGUCUGCCAUACGGGGGGGGGGAUCUUACUCCUAUAUCAAGCAUAUGGAUGUGAUGGCUAAGGAGCUCGGCCAGAAGCCGACUGCAACAGAGCUGUACACUCGUCUUCACUCCAUGAAUUCUGAGAAGAAGCCGGUUGACAAGCGGGCUUAGGACUUGACUGAAUUUUCUGAAAAAUGGGUGAUGCUCUUAUUAUAGAGGAAAUGCUGCUGAAUUUCGUUAAAAUUUAUGAUUACUUUUGAUAUGUUGUGCAUUUUUAGUUACUAUAAAACUAAACUAGUAUGUUUUUUAACUGAUUUGUAGGACGCCAUCGCUUAGAGGCUUGCUACCGCGACACAGUCUCUGAUCGGAGAGGGUAGCUCCUCGAGUCUAGGGGAUAUGGACGAGACCCAAGUGUUUUUGGACAUCGAGGCGUCAAUAAGAAGCAUUGUGUGUACAGCCUGGGUUUGCCGAGCAGUAGGUAUGCCACCACGAAUAGCAGCGCGCAGCGAGGUAGCGCUUCUAGGUCGACACAGCAGGCGAAUGAGGAGGUCGAGCGCCGUGUGCAGGCCGGCAUCCUGGAGGGUCUGCGGUAGGUUGAGAAGCGGCUGGCGAAGCAACAACGUCAGUACCAGGCGAGCAUGGCCCAUCUUAUCCAUGAGAAGAUUGCAAGGAUGAUGCCUAACCUUCCUACAGAGUAUCGGUCACAUGUCCCCCCCUCCCCCAUCAGACGAUGACGAUACUGCAGAUUUCUAAUGUCGUGUUUGAUUAGUUUACGAACAUAUUACGUUUUUUUUCUUUUUAUAUGUUAUAUGUAUAAUUUGAUAUUUAUUUACAUAAAUAUAAGUAUUCAGUUUCAAUUUA